CUCUAGCCCUGAUGGAAAAGGAAAGCCACGAGAAGUAAAACUGCAUUUUUUUUUGGGUUUAAAAAGCGACCAGCGGAAGCUCUUUUAAAGCCUUAAAAAAAGUGGUUUUGCCCAAGUGCUUGUAUUGGACAGCAGGAAUAGCU
rnacentral:misc_RNA from 1 species